rnacentral:rRNA from 1 species
UACGUAGGGUGCAAGCGUUGUCCGGAUUUAUUGGGCGUAAAGAGCUCGUAGGCGGUUUGGCAAGUCGGGUGUGAAAACUUCAGGCUCAACCUGGAGAUGCCACCCGAGACUGCUAUGACUGGAGUCUGGUAGGGGAGCACGGAAUUCCUGGUGUAGCGGUGAAAUGCGCAGAUAUCAGGAGGAACACCGGUGGCGAAGGCGGUGCUCUGGGCCAGUACUGACGCUGGAGGAGCGAAAGCGUGGGGAGCAAACAGG